CCUACGGGAGGCAGCAGUGGGGAAUAUUGCACAAUGGGGGGAACCCUGAUGCAGCGACGCCGCGUGAGUGAAGAAGUAUUUCGGUCUGUAAAGCUCUAUCAGUAGGGAAGAAAAUGACGGUACCUGACUAAGAAGCCCCGGCUAACCACGUGCCAGCAUCCGCGGUAAUACGUAGGGGGCAAGCAUUUACCGGAUGUACUUGGUGUAAAGGGAGCGUAGACGGCAGAGAAGGUCUGAAGUGAAAGCCCGCGGCCCAACUGCGGGACUGCUUUGGAAACUGCCCGGCUAGAGUGCUGGAGAGGUAAGCGGAAUUCCUAGUGUAGCGGUGAAAUGCGUAGAUAUUAGGCGGAACACCAGUGGCGAAGGCGGCUUACUGGACAGUAAUUGACGUUGAGGCUCGAAAGCGUGGGGAGCAAACAGGAUUAGAUACCCCUGUAGUC
rnacentral:rRNA from 1 species